rnacentral:lncRNA from 1 species
CACUGUUGUAUUUACAGAAGUUGUAUGAGAAUAAGCUACAGGUUGAUUUUAUACUAAUCUGUUAUUUUUCUUUUUUAGCACGACUGACUGAAGUUUUAAAAUCAUGCAACGUCAUAAAGCAGCAGCUGGGCCUGAUUCUCACAAAACCAAAACAGACGUGAUGAAAUUCCAGAUGUAAACACAUUUGACCUUCCUUUGGCCAAUUUGAUUUGGAAAAGCUUGAAAAUCAACUAAAGGAGCAGCCCGAACAAAUGAAGAAACUGAUAAAGUGAGGACAAAUGUCCAUACCACACCACUGAUAAAGAAGUGGAAAAAUGCAUUACAAGGUAGCUACAACUUGCCCCUGACAGGGAUGGAGGAAGAAAGAAGAGAAAGCUAAUGUGUCAAAUGUCUACAUCACUAUUUUGUUUUAUUUUUUAAACAACAUUUUAAGUGUAUUAGGAUGUUCCCUGAUACUUGAACAAUUUGUUUCUUUCAUUUGCAUUUAUAUAUAUAUAUAUAUAUAUAUAUAUAUAUAUAUAUAUAUAUAUAUGUGUGUAUAUGUGUGUGUGUGUGUGUGUGUAUAUAUGUAUGGUAUGUAUGUAUGUAUGUGUGUGCGCCAAAUUCUGAAGAAACAUCUUGAUACAUUUUUAAUAAACGUAAUACAAAUAAAAUUAUAAAUAUAAAAUUGCACAAGACGUGUAUAUAUAUGAAAUGUAUAAUCAUCUCACUCAUGUCUUGCUGUUUGUGCAAUUGAUUUUGUUCAAGUUUAUUUCAAAAUAAGUUUGACUUUAUACUUCUGCAAUUAUAUAUAAUAUAUAUUUUUUAUUUUUUAUUUUUUUUUUUGUUUGUUUAUUAUUAUUUUAAUGUUUUAUUAAAAAAUGUUUCAAGAUGUUUCUUCAGAAUUCUGCAGUACUUUUCACAAGUUUGACUUGGAUAUUUUACGGAUUGUCAUUGGUAUUUUUAAGAUGUUUCUUGCUAUAUCUUAAAUUGGUUUCUAUAUUUAGGUUUAUAUAAAAUUUAGCUGUUUUUUUACAAAUUUUUAAUUCAAGUCUAUUGGGAAAACAGGGUUGUUUUAAAAACAUCUGUGUUUGUGUGUAAUUUUUAUAUUUUUUGUUUAAAUCUUUCUGUGUGUCUUUAUUGUGUUGUUUUAUUGUUGUUUUUAUAUUGAUAUUCUUGUGCACAACAAAUUAUUUAUAAAAUUUUAGUACUAUUUCUUUCUUGCAAUCAAUAAACGUUUAACAUUUA